rnacentral:rRNA from 1 species
CUCCUACGGGGCGCAGCAGUGGGGAAUAUUGGGCAAUGGGCGCAAGCCUGACCCAGCAACGCCGCGUGAAGGAAGAAGGCUUUCGGGUUGUAAACUUCUUUUCUCAGGGACGAAGAAAGUGACGGUACCUGAGGAAUAAGCCACGGCUAACUACGUACCAGCAGCCGCGGUAAUACGUAGGUGGCAAGCGUUAUCCGGAUUUAUUGGGUGUAAAGGGCGUGUAGGCGGGAGCGCAAGUCAGAAGUGAAAACCCGGGGCCCAACUCCGGGAGUGCAUUUGAAACUGUCCAGCUAGAGUGCAGGAGG